AUUUACCCAAUAUUUUCUUUAAAUAGAUCCAUCAUUUUUAAGUUAAAGUUACUUUAUAAAAAAAGCUUUAUAUUACUUCAAUGAAAACAGUAAAGCAAAAGAAACAGAAGAUAUUUAUGAAAGCAAAUAUGCUUCAGAUUAAUUUGUUAUUAAAUUCUAGGGCCUGGCCUGGUGGCAUGGUGGUUAAGUUCACGUGCUCUGCUUUGGUGGCCUGGGCUUCGCUGGUUUGGGCGUGGACCUACACACUGCUCAUCAAACCAUGCUGUGGCAGGCGUCCCACAUGCAAAAUAGAGGAAGAUGGGCAGGGAUGUUAGCUCAGGAACAAUCUCCCUCAACCAAAAGGAAGAAGAUUGGCAAUAGAUGUCAGCUCAGGGCCAAUCUUCCUCACCUCCCCCCAAAAAAAUUUCUAGCUGAAUACUAUUCCCUGCCAGUCUGAAACCUGCCCUCUUAGGAAAUAAAGAAGAUUUUCGCUUGUUGGAAGGAAGAUAAAGACAUUCUUGGCACCAAAAUUGAAACUUUAAUCUUAUUUUAAUCAGAAGGAUUAAGUGAGAAUUGGAAAAAGGAAGGCAUAAUUUUCUCAUUACAUGUGAUUCAUGCCAUUGAAUGACAUCUCUGAGUACCCCCUACAAUGACCUUGAGUAUCACCCCUAAUCUUGUAUAUACCUGCAGUGAUACACAUUGCACACUUUCAGAAACACGGGAUAAACAACAAUGAUGACAACGGAAGCUAAUGCUGGCUGAGGUGUAUUUAGAGCUUCCUCUUGGCCAAGCAUGCUUCAAAGAGCUCUCUGCAGGUACGAACUUGCUCGGUUCUCACAAGAACCUCAGAAAUAGGUUCUCCUCUUUUUCCCAUUGUACAGAUGUGACAGCUAAGGCAGAGAGAGGCUCGUAACUUGCUCAAGGUCCAUUUGACUAAUAAAAGGCAAAGCUGGCAAUGGGGCAGUGAUGGAAGUUUAGAAAAGCAGGCUUGGCCACCAAUUGUGCUUCUAGAAAACCUGAGAUCAAAUGUCACAAAACCCUCCUGGGAGAGGAGGUCUCCCUAUACCUGGAGGGAAGGAGCAUCCUUAUCCUGGAAGACAAAGGGAUGCCGAGAAGAAUCCUAACAAACAGGCCUUGCUGUUGCCCAUGGUUUACUGCACUUACCCCAUACUCCUUGAUCUACCAUAUUCCUCCACGACUGUCCACUCUUCAUCAAACCUAGCAUAAAAAUAGUCAGAUUUAGCUGCUUCUUCUUGUCUUUCUUUCCUUAUGAGGGUUCCUGUGUCAUGUAAAACUUAAAUUAAAUAAAUUUGUAUGUUUUUAUCCUG
rnacentral:lncRNA from 1 species